GACAGAGGGUGCAAACGUUGCUCGGAUUUACUGGGCGUAAAGCGCAAGUAGGCGGUCUUGUAAGUCGGGUGUGAAAACCCGGGGCUCAACCCCGGCAGUGCACACGAUACUGCGAGACUGGGGUACUGAAGAGGAGAGCGGAAUUCUCGGUGUAGAGGUGAAAUUCGUAGAGAUCCGGAAGAACACCGGUGGCGAAGGCGGCCUGCUGGGGCUAUGGCUGACACUGAGGCGCGACAGCGUGGGGGAGCAAACAGG
rnacentral:rRNA from 1 species